CCGAAUAACUGAGUCCUAUGGGUCGGGAGAAUGUUUAUUAGUCAGUAAAGAGUAAUUCCACCAACCCCCAGGAAAGCUGGAAAGUACUUAGUGAAAGCAAAAUAUUUAGCGAAAAUAGGCAUUCAUACAAAAUUAUAAAAUGCCAUUAAUAAGCAUAAGUGCAUUGCAAGGAAAGCACAGACUCAUUUAAUCUAUAGAGCCAGUUAAAGCCUUAGAAAGUUUAAGUGGAAAUUGAAAUAUGAAAACAUGUACAAACAUUCUACAAAAGAUGGUCAUCUUUUCCUGAGAGUAUUAAAGCUACAGAUGUGAGGUGACGGCAGGCAGGGUGGAGCCCUCAAGGGCACUUUCUUCCUCUACACUGCUUCCCUCCUUCAUAUUCCUGUUUGGAAAUCCACAUUUAUUGAAAGGUACCCUGUAGCCGGGCGUGGUGGCGCGCGUGCAUGCCUUUAAUCCCAGCACUCAGGAGGCAGAGGCAGGUGGAGUUCGAGGCCAGCCUGGUCUACAGAGUGAGUUCCAGGACAGCCAGGGCUAUACAGAGAAACCCUGUCUCGAUUAAAAAAAGAAAAAAAGAAAGGAAGGAAGGAAGGAAGGAAGGAAGGAAGGAAGGAAGGAAGGAAGGAAGGAAUAAAGGGAGGUACCCUGUAAGGUGGAAAGAAACAAUAAUGCCUCUCUUUUUAUGAGGUGGUGAUUUUCACUCAUAAAUGUCCUUAACUGCUAAACUAUUAAACUCCUUCCUCAACAAAACAAAACAAAACAAAACAAUUUUUCUAUCUGUAUUUUUGACUUGGCCAGUAGAUCCAAGCUUAUUUUUACAGCAGUUUCUCUGACUUUAGUUAGAAAACCCAUGAGCUAUCUAGAGAGCUUUUAAAAUUUUUACUAGCAGAGAGAGCUGUCUUGACCAGAAAGCUACCUGUCUCAGAGAGUGUUUAGAAUAGCAAGUAACAUCUGUCUAGAGCAGAGCAGAGCAGAGCAGAGCAGAGCAGAGCAGAGCAGAGCAGAGCAGAGCAGAGCACCAUCUCAUCUGGAAAGUCAUCUCAGCAGAACAUAGGCCACGCAGCUGUCAAGCUUGGACCCAGGGUUUGACUUCAAGUUGCUUGAUUCCCUGCUGCUUUCAAAUUCCCCUUCUCUUAGGAACCCAGACCUAUUUGAGGUUGGUCCUUGGCACUUAUACUCUCCGUUCUUUCUGUAUAUGAGAACUGUGGCAUUGUUACAUUUAUUGGUUAGAUCGAAGAUCACAGAUAAUGACUAUCAGGUAGCACUGGCCCCUGAGCAAUCUACUUUUAUAGUGUCAUUUAUUUGAUUUUCAGCUCAGACCUUGUAGUACAAGGUGAACAUCCCACAGGCAUUUCUGUCCAUCAUUUUUAUAAUUUACACAUAAUUCUGCAUGACUUUGAGCUAAGAAUGAUCUUUAAAAUCUCUGCUUUUAGCCAGGUGUGGUGGCUCAUGCCUUUAAUCCCAGCACUUGGGAGGCAGAGGCAGGCGGAUUUCUGAGUUUGAGGCCAGCCUGGUCUACAGAGUGAGUUCCAGGACAGCCAGGACUACACAGAAAAACCCUGUCUCAAAAAAACAAAAAGAAAAAAUAUCUCUGCUUUUACCUUGUGGCCAAGUUGAGAAGAAGGUUUAACUUAGCAUGCAUAGGGGUAGGCAAACCUCUAUGUGAACGCAUCCAUAUUCCCCAAGUAAAGUCUCAAUGCUUCCUUUUUUAUAAGAAAAUCAUUGCUUUGGAAAUGGCUCCCAUGCUCUCAUUGCCUGCCACAAGAAAAAAAAUUUUUUUUCUUACAUCUCCUGACUAGAUAGUUGUACUGGCUAUUCUUGGUAGCCAUAUUAAAUAUAUCUGGAAUUAGCUAAAAUUCAAAUAGUUGGCUAUUGUGGGGAUUUUUUUUUAUCUUAGCUUUUGAAAUGGGAGAACCCUUAUAUAAUCUGGAUCUUUUAGUUGAUAUGAUCCAUCUUUAAUCUAGGCCACAGCUUACAUAUACAAAGGACACUGAAAAUGAUAGAUACCUCUUUCUCUUUGUCUACUUGCCCUACCUCUGGCUAGCAAGUUCAUUAAAAAAACAAAAAACAAAAACAAACUGGCAUUAGGCUUAUUUCUUUGGAAUUCUGAUAUAUACUGAAGACCAGUUGAGGCAUGCAGCCACAUGGACUAAACCAUGAGUGUAUUCUUCAACUUUCCACUGGUAGACAGCCACUGUUGGACUAGUAGAAUGACACAGCUUUUGAGCCAUUCUAAUAAGUCCACUUCCAACAUGAUAGAGAGAUUGAUUCUAUCAGUUCUUUUUAUCUAGAGAAUUGCUGUUGCUAUUUGUUUGUUGUACCAACACACUGAGGAAGAUGUGCUGGUUAACAAGAGUGCUCCACAGUGUUUGUCAUGUGCUUCCUGCUUGGGUCUGAGGGUUGACUCAUAACUAUUAGGUAGAAAGUACUUGCAGUGUACCUGAACCCUGAAGAAGACGCACAAAAAUUUUUUUUGUUUCCUAAUAUCCCUCUUUAAUUGUUAAUAUUCUGGGCACCUUCCCAUUUGUGGGACAGACUGAUAACUCCACUGUAAGUUGAGAAAUGGUCUAUAAAAGUGCCACACCAACCUUAGUUGGAUCUGUGUGACAAGUUCCACAUACUGAGGCAAAAAUUUCAAAAGAAGGAGGCCUCUUGGAAAUCUUGACCAGAGCAAAAUAUUGAGCUGAAGUUCUCAUGGCAAUGUAUCUCUUUUUAUCUUCUUCUAUUCCUUUCCUUAUUUACAAGAUGUUCCUGAUAGCCUGGGCUGGGGCUGUAAGCGAGACACUGGGUAAGAUACCAUCCCUUGAGAUGGGGGUCACUGCCAUGACCUUAUCUUCGCGAAAACCAGCGCUUUACUUCAUAAAUCAUUUAGGAAAUUACAAAAUAGUAUUAUGAUAGAUAAGAACUUUCUCAAUAACAAAAUUUCAUAUGGCUAUACAUCUGUCCUCAGAAGUGGGUUUGGUAUAUGGUAAAGAAAGCCUAAGAUUAAAAAAAAAGAAGAAGAAUUAAAAUAGUUUAAAUUUGCACCUUGAAGUUUCACAAAAAAUUAGGUAGUAGAUGUUAAAUAAUAACUGACCAUAAAAAUUUAUUAACCUGCUCUUGGAAAUAUGCAAUUAGCCUUGGAUGAUUUUGUGUUUAACUGUGCUAAAUAACAAUGAUGUUAUCUGUCCUACCCCUAAUUACUACACUAAACACAUCUUCUAAGAGUUGUAAUACUUGUUCCUCAUUAUGUAUAAAAAUCCUCGCUUGAGAGCUGAAAAACACACUGAUUCAAAUUGCCUCUGUGUUUAUUUCUGUUUGUCACCACCAAAUCCUUACCCACCUAGUCUUCGAGGACCCUCGUUCCAAAGAUUCCUACAUUCCACUGGGGUGACCCGCAGCACACAAGUUAUGGACCUUGAUUGAGGGAGGAAGAGGAAGUAACUUCUGAGCACUGUGAUUGGAGCUCAGGACAGCUCCAAAGUUGCAACAAGGUAGCACAGGGUCACUGCCCACAAAGGGGAGAAACAGGUAGCUCAGCAUCCAGAAGCUGGAGUUGUGGCCGACCUGGGUGGGAAAACAAACACAAGAUGUACUGAAAUGAAAAGCUCUGCAGAUCUGCAAAAGGACUGGCCUCUGACUAGAAGCCUGUGCCUGGAAUUAUUCCUCGCUGUCCCUUCCGCGCACUCUAACCCUAAAGGUGGUGCUUAUGUUACUCAUACACACUAGCCAAUCAGCACAUGGAGGCGGUCCUGCCAAUCAGAGGAGAAGGCGGGCUUUUCCGGGAGCUUUCCUGCAAGUUCCUCUCCAAAGCGGAGCAAUCCGGUGUGUUUCAGUUUGUUGUGGUCCACGUGUCGCUGCUGGGUGCUGUGAGAAGAGCUCAGGCAAACUCAGAAGUCCCGACAUGGUAAGUGCAGGGCCAUGUCCAACAAAAGGAAAGAGCAGGGGGCUGAGCAGAGGGAGCUGCUGUCUUGGGUCGUCCCUGGGGCUUGGUGAUAAACAGCAGCCUGUGAGGUUCCCUGUGGUCCUGUUCUCUCCCUGGAGCCGGAGGUGGCCUCUGAAUAACCUCACUAGGGUGGCUGCAUCUGCACAAAGCAUUUGGGGAAAGGGCUUCUGUGUAGAAACAUCCUUGGCAAGAAGCCAGACGCGGAGAGCUUUAGUUUCUCUGUAUCUUCAGGAAGUUCUGGCCUUAGCAUUUAGCCCUUUAAUAUGUAGGUUUGUAGGUGUAAGAUCCCUUUGGCUUUGAUUUUGUGGAAGCUGUAAAAGGCACCUCGUGUGUUGGGUAGCACUCCAAUGUUGAGCUGUGAUUUAGAAGCGUAAAAUUGAUGAUGUAAAGGAUUUACCAAAACUUACAGUGACACCAAGUAGAAUGUAGCUGAGGGAGGACUGCCUCUAAAACACCCCACGGAUAAUAGGAUGCUAGUAUAUGUGUUUUUUUACCAGGAUUGUCCAGACAUCUGUCUACAAACCAUAACAAAGGAGACAAAUCUGGUUUACAAUCAUGAAUUAGGCCCAUCCCGAUAUCAAAGAACAGGCCUCUAACAAGUGGCUCUAAGGGGCAAAAUAGGGUCACGACCAACAUUAAGGCCUGGUGUGCCAUAAAGGUCCGGUUUUCUUCUUUCUUCCUUUCUUUCCUUCUUUCUUUCCUUCUUUCUUUCUUUCUUUCUUAUAUAUAAGUACACUGUAGCGGUCCUCAGACACUCCAGAAGAGGGCAUCAGAUUUCGUUUAGGAUGGUUGUGAGCCACCAUGUGGUUGCUGGGACUUGAACUCGGGACCUUCGGAAGAGCAGUCGGUGCUCUU
rnacentral:lncRNA from 1 species